GGGGGGGGGGGGGGGGGGGGGGGGGGGGGGGGGGGGGGGGGGGGGGGGGGGGGGGGGGGGGGGGGGGGGGGGGUCCAUCGCUCGCUUCGGCAGGUCCGGGCGGGCCGCGGAGAGGAGCUCUCUAGUCCAGCGUCAUUGAGGGGGGUCAGGGAGAUAAACGAAGCAGAUUUAUAUACAAUCCAAUUUAUAGCCUGGAAGGAGGGGGGGGGGAGAAAUGCCACUUGUACCCCCCCGCCCACGCCCACUCCGCCCCCGCAAGACAAUCCGUGGGUGCAGGUCUCUGAGCAGGUCGGCUCCGCGCCGCUCGGUUGUCCCCCUUCAGCGCCCGCUGCGUCUCAACGUGCCAUCAAAGUUGACCCGGAGCAUAGCUGGGGAGGGAGCCGGGGGCGGCGGGCAGGGGGUGCGCGGCUGGCAGCUCCACUGUUGCGAGUCUUCUCCCCCCACCGUCCCGCUUAUUAUUAGCGAGAUGCUUUUAUUUUCGAAGCAGCGCGGAGGGUCCGGAGUCCGGCGCGGAUGCGGCGGCGGCGCCCGGGGACCCCGCCGCGGGCAGGGCAGCGCACGCUGCGCGGCGCGGAGCGGAGCGGGGAAGCGGCGCGAUCCCGGCGAUCCAGGAGAAGCUGCGCGGAUCCACUCGGAGUUAAAACCACGUGGGAACUCCAACCUAUAACAGAGACGCCAUGGGCUCCUCACUAUUUAGGAGAUUAAGUUAAGUCUUUUGCCCCCUGGGCUAUUACAGUAACUUCCUGAUGUGGAAAUAUUAACUAUGCUGUUUCUUUAACUCCCCCCGUCCCCUCCCUCCCUCCCGGUUCCUGCAAACACACCCACCGCACACAGGCUCCCCUCCCUGUCCCGUCGUCCGGCAGGACGGACGGACGCACGGACGGAUGGACAAACCCCGAGCGGCGGCAGCUCCGGCCCCCAUCCCGCCCCGGCCGGGAGAUGGAUACCCCCUUCUUCCCCUCCCCCGGUGCUCCUUGCCUUUUAAGCACUUGAAAGAAGAAGUCAUUAGAAAGUUUACCGUCGGUUGGCUUUGCGACGGGGCGGGUUUCUGUUUGUUUGUUUGAAUGGGCCGGGUAGUCGGGGCGGGUGCCGGGGACUGCGUGUGUUUUCCGUGGGGCAGCAGGGGGAGGGGGACCGGGGCGGCGGCCGAGGGGGGGGGGGGGGGGGGGGGGGGGGGGGGGGGGGGGGGGGGGGGGGGGGGGGGGGGGGGGGGGGGGGGGGGGG
rnacentral:lncRNA from 12 species